CAGGCAUACUGAGUGCAGCACUUUCACAGCAUCAUCUUUCAGGAUUUGAAUGGGUCAUUAGUCACCUGCCAAAGGGGAAGGAGGGUAGGGAAGAGAUCUCCUAUGGUCAAGAAGCGUUGUGGUGGGAGGACCAGUCUGCAACCUGGAAGGCAGGAGCCUGCGGUGCAGAGACACUGAGAUGCUGAUUUCAGAAGCUGAGCAACUCUGGGUGAGGGCAAGACCCAGAUGUACAGAACCCAGUAGCGAGAGUGGGUGGGAGUUGAGAUGGUCAAAGAAGCAGGCAUGGGAGCAUCUCCCACAUGAACUGUGGGACUAGGGGAGGAGAGAAAGCCCACGGGUCAAAGCUGUCCAUGCUGUGGGAGAGGGACUGGUUGGCAGAGGAUGGCCACAGAGACGGGUAGCUGAGACCUGACUAGGUCCCCACCUCAUUUCCAACUCUGCCACCUCAAACAAUCUCUGACUAGUAUCUAGUUACUGACGUGUGGAACUGAAAAUUACUGUCCUUUAGAAACUGACUCAUUUCUAUCCUUUUAAAAUUACACUAAUAAGUGAAGUUCACGGGGGAUGAAAUUUUCUGCAUAGAUUCAUUUUUUAAAGAAUAAAAAAAAAUGACACCUUGCUGACCUUCAGUAAUUGCCCUACACUGUGCAAUAUUUUUGAACCUCAUUUCAAGAAAGAAUCAAACCUCAGAGUUGAAAGAAACCUUACAUGAUUUCAGCUAACACCUUCAUUUGCAUGCCUGAAGAAAAUUUUCACUGAAAUAUUGCAAACAGCACAUAAUUACUAAUUUAGAUAUGCAGACAGCAUUGAAGGUAUCUUCAAUUUCUGAAGUGUGCUUUAGAUAUACAAAUUAGCAACGCUUACAUUUUUCCCAGUUAUCAGUGUUCAACUUUCGAUAUAAAAUCUCCAAAGUAUAAAAUUAUCACGUAGAUUGCUCCUGAACAGUUCAGAGAAGUAACCUGCUUCCUGGCUUGAAAGAGGAAGUCAAAUCUUCAAACACCUUUUUAUGUUGAUGCUAAAUAUAAGAAUAUAAAUAUAAAAACGCUCCCUGAGAAGUAGUCAAAGCAAGCCACAGCAGCAUUCGAGAUUUCUCAAGAGAGACAUAGGCGAAGAUUAUUUUUCGUUCAUUAAAACAGUAAAACCUUUGAGAGCAUCUUCCAUGACACCUGAAGGUGGAGUGCUGUCUUAUGUAAUAGAAGCCUUCCCUCCGCACUCAGUUUGUAGGCAAAUUAAACACCCAGUUCCCCCAGAAUUUCUGAGUCCUUUGACCUUACCUGUAGGCACUAAUUAGUAUUGCAAGUCCCAUUGCGACAGGCGAUUAAAAAACAAAAAAAAAAAAAANCACAGGGUUAAAUCGGAGGCAGGAAACCAAUUUAAAGGUUCUCCCCCAAACCACCGGUUACCCCCACCCUGCUCAGGCAAUGGUAACAAGUAGGAGUCCGUAGGGGUCCUCCCUAACAGGAGGUGCACCAGUAAAGUACGGGGUAGGGGACGCCCGCGAGUACCUGGGUACCCCAAGUUCAGGGUCAGGGGCGCCCGCUAGGACGGACCGGCAGCAGCCACGGCGGCUCCAGAACUCCCGGUCGCGGGCACACCUGGACGCCACCGCACGCGCGGCCCCUCGGCUCCCAGCCCUGGUCCCACCCCGGC
ensembl:lncRNA